rnacentral:rRNA from 1 species
UACGGGGGGGGCAAGCGUUGUUCGGAAUUACUGGGCGUAAAGGGCUCGUAGGCGGCCAACUAAGUCGGAUGUGAAAUCCCCAGGCUUAACCUGGGAACUGCAUCCGAUACUGGAUGGCUUGAAUCCGGGAGAGGGAUGCAGAAUUCCAGGUGUAGCGGUGAAAUGCGUAGAGAUCCGGAGGAACACCGACGGCGUAGGCAGCGCCCUGGACGACACCUGACGCUGAGGCACGAAAGCUGGGGGAGCGAACAGG